rnacentral:snRNA from 1 species
AUCGCUUCUCAGCCUUUUGGCUAAGAUCAAGUGUAGUAAAAAUUUUAAAUCCCUAUUAUAUUGGAAUUGUUAAAAACAAUUUUUAUGCCAGGGUUUCUUUGUUGCCCAAGCUGGAGUACAGUGGCUGAUCACAGCUCACUGUAGCCUCGAAUUCCUG